rnacentral:lncRNA from 1 species
AUCGAUCGCAGCGGCGGUCGGGAGGCAUUCCAUCUCCAACCUCGACGGACCGUCGGGAUACGUAGGUUUCCACCACCCUGUAAGUACCUCAGUCCUCCAUUCCAUCCAAGUUAUCAUUUGCUUCACCCCGUUUAGUUCAACGACAACGCUCGCCGUCCCUUGCAUUUCCCCUACCAAAUUGCACAUAGCGUCGGCCGGAGCGAUUUCAUCGACGAUCUUAGUGGACUAUCGGGAUUCGGAUUAGUCCACCGCCCUAGUAAGUACCUCGUUCCAUCUGUCCCAUCCAUUGUAGCAUUUGCUUCCCCCCUUGAACUCAACGGCGUCGCUGUGCGUAAUCAGCCGCGAGUUAUUAGUUUUUUCCACGGUAAGUACACUUUCAACUCCCCACAUUUAGUAGCAAUUUAAUUUUUCAGGUUAUCGUAAUAAAAUAUCCAACGUUGCUCAGCACCUUAAACCACAGUUCUAUGGUGAUUCAUACUUUAUGCAGAUUUUUCCUCGCAAGAAACUAGUUCAAUAUAUAUAUAUUUGUAAUUGUUUACAUUGUUAUGACAACAUAUAUUAGUAUUUAUGAAAAUUAUGUACAUAUUUAUGUUAAUAAUUAUGUACAGUGUCAGUCUUAAGUUUUGUUUUGUUUUUUAUUUCUACGCAGUCAACUAGAUGUAUCUAUAUUGUCAUUUUUUAUUUAUGUAUGUCGACAUCUAUAUUUAUGGCCUUGCUAUUCAUUUCAGUGUAUUCAAAAUAGUUCAGAAAUUUGUGAAUACAUUUUCUGCAUAUUUAAUUUUUUUCAUGUAUACCUUUUUGUUGUUAAACCAUUCUUAUUUUUAUGACCUAUAUUUUAAAGAUCGUUUUUUCAUUUUUGUAGAGUUGCUCUGGUAUUCAUUGUAUUCAACAUGAAGCCCAUCGACUAGCCUUCUUGAAAUCCCAAGAAAAUUACCAUUCAAUCAAGCCACGAAGUUUUCACUGUCGAGAUCCCUUAGUUGGUAAAUGAUGUGAACAACCCGAAUGAGAUCCCUGCACGCCCUGAUGAUGCCACAGGACAAAUGAAACAAACCUAUAUUAGGCGUAACACAAAGCGGGUUAUAGGUCAUGUUAAAAAAGCUUCUGAUGUUAUUGGAAACCCAGACAAUGUGAAAGGGAAAUAGGGUUAACCUUUUCCCACAAUUAUUUUUGGCUGUUGAAUUUGCAACGCAAACACAUGGACUAACUAGUUUGCCAAGUAUUCAUGUAUUACAGGUG